UUGAGCCGUGUGAGGGGAAACUCUCAUGCACGGUUCUUAGAGGGGAAAGGGAUAGUAAUAUCCCUGACCUACUCGAC
rfam:Peptoniphilus sp. BV3C26 contig00020, whole genome shotgun sequence.